rnacentral:lncRNA from 1 species
AUGAGGAAAUCUGAGGCCCAAAGACAUUCCUACAGCAGCCAGUUAGUAGCAGAGGCACCAUUGGAGCAAAGGAGAUCCUGUGGCAUUAUGGGACUCAAUACAAUCAAUAUGAUGUCAUCCAUAAACAAUAGCACCUGGAUCAUCCCUCCUCCCAUCACUUCUUCCACUUGGACUUUGCAUAGGACUUCUUCCAUGAUGAAGAUGAAUAUCUGCUGCUACCCAUCUCAGAGAAAUACUGUGACAAGACCUAUUCUGAAAGAAAGGAAAUGUAUUCUAGUAUUUAUAGAGGAAACCAGGAAGGCUCUUGGCCACUGUUUCCUGGUUAGGCUGCUGACUCAUUCUGUAACCCUUAGACAAUUCCCUUAGCCUUGUACCUCAGUUUCCCUAUAUUUUAAGUAGAGGAUCAUAUUUUUCUGCUGUUGUAUUGCAACAUAUAAUUAAUGUUUACUUGGUGCUUUGAAACAAUUGGGAUCAAAGGAUCACUAUUACUGUAAAAUAUCAUUUUGAGAAAGAUUCUGUCUCUACAUUGACAACUCAAUGAAUACACAUACUGUUUUUUAAUGAACUUGUGAUUUGGGCUUUCUGGCUAUUAUUUCUGCCAUCAUUUCUACUGUCUGAAAUAUCGGAAAAUAAUAGCCUUCCUUUAUCCCUUAACUCUAUCUACUAUCUCCUCUAUUCUCCCCUUCAGUUAGGUCAAGUUAUGUCACUUUCAAGAAAUCUACUAAUGGUUAUUUUUGUUCCUCUUGAUCAGUUUUGAACUUUUAACAAGUACAGUUUGUGAAUGUAGAAUAUUCUGGAAUUGGAGUCAUAAAAUUUGGUUUGAGUUCAGCUGGAGCAUUAACUAACAAGAUGACUUUGAUCAAGUCACUUAAAUCUCUUCAAGUCUCA